UUGGUUUACUGAAUUUCUUGGCUGGUUUUCUGUGUUUGAUGACUGCUUUUGAUUUGAUUUGCGUUUGUUUUUGGGUCAGAAAGGGAGACAGAGACACUAAACCGAGCACGCCAGCUGGUCUUCAAUAACGAUAACUUGACCACCCAAGGGCAUCUAGGCUGCAAUCGAACAUUACCAUUUAGAUCAGUUUAUCCACCAAGAAUGUUCCCCGGUUCUUCAUCAACGCUCAUUCCACCACCACCACAACUAUAUUUACACCCAUACCCAACAACACACUCCAUUAACGACUACUAUGUAGGACAUGUCCUCGGAAGCAAAGGUUCAUCCCAAUAUCCUCAGCAAAACUUACACUACCUUGGUCCACAGGACUCUAACUACACUUGCAUCGGCGAGCCUGUAUUCGGGCCUAGUCCAAGUUGCGGCGCAGGAGACUUAUCAAUGAGCAACCAGGAGGAGGGGCUGAAUUGGGAUAGGAGCUAUGCAGGAGGAAGUACACAGCAGCGCCUGGAGAAUCCUCCAGCGAUGAAUCGAUUUCAGGACGGACUCUAAAGAUUGUUCUAUCUUUUUUUUCCUACUUUUUCAAAACAAAAA